UACGAAGGGUGCAAGCGUUACUCGGAAUUACUGGGCGUAAAGCGUGCGUAGGCGGUUUGUUAAGUCCGUUGUGAAAGCCCUGGGCUCAACCUGGGAAUUGCAGUGGAUACUGGCGAGCUAGAGUGCGGUAGAGGAUGGUGGAAUUCCCGGUGUAGCGGUGAAAUGCGUAGAGAUCGGGGAGGGACACCCGUGGCGAAGGCGGCCAUCUGGACCAGCACUGACGCUGAGGCACGAAAGCGUGGGGGAGCAAACAGG
rnacentral:rRNA from 1 species